CACUCCUCCCCCCGAAUAGGGCGGCCUGGAGUCAAACUGUGGGAGGAAGGGGGGGCGGAGGGCAGGGUGUUCAGCGAUCCUUUGCAGCCGGAGGAGGAAGCGUCCACCCCAACAUUGGUCGUGCCCGUUCCCUCUCCUUGCCCCCGGGAAAAACCCGGGGUGCCAUCUCUCCCACUCCUCAGGGGCCGAGAUCGAGAGAGGGUGUGUGGGGGUGUUGCCCCCCCUUUUCUUGUCCCUCCUUAGCGCAAGGUCAGCACAACCCCGUGUUUUCGCGGAGGUUUCGGAAGGAGGGCGAACCCAGGCACGGCCGGGAUAAACAACAGGAUCGCGUUGCACCGGGGAGGAGGAGCGGGGGAAAACCCGAGCAAGAGCUGGGGCAUAUCACUCUCGAUUAUCACGGAGAAGAAACAAUACCGUGGCACCAAGGGUGAAGAGAGCGAGCUGCAUUCCUUACUUUCACCUGCACUGGAGACAGGAAGAGAUACCCAAAGGAAACUUGCUGUAUUUCUUCAAGGAUUCUUAUUUCCUCCUGUGCCAGGCUGAGGGAGGUUGAAACACACACUAAUAAAGGACAUAUUUCUUAUAUAUGGCAGUUUUCUUUAUUGAUUGCUUGAUGUGAAACAAUAUCAAUCUGGAUUUUUUUUUUUCCCACACAUUACAAAAAAAAUAUUAAAUUGGCUCAGUCUGCAAUCCUUUAAGCACAGCCAUAUUAAUUAUCAGGAAAAAAAAAACAUAAAAAAAAAGAAAACCAACAAAAAAAAUCCUAAAAAGUCUACCAAGUAGAGCAUUUACAAAUGCAGAAAAACAUGCCACUUUGGCUUUAUGGGGAAAAAUAUUGUCUUCUAGAUUAAAAAAAAAAUCUUUUAAACAUAAAUAAGUUAGUAUAAUUUCUCAGUGUCUUUACAGAGUUAUGUACACAGGUACACUUCAAACUUUUUUUUUUUUAUUUUUACAUACAGGUACACAGGCAAUGUAGAAAUACUGUUUAAAGAUGUAGUAUCCCUUUUCCCUCACACACAAACAUUUUGGGAAGUGGGUCAAAUCAGAAAACAACAAUAAUCGAGAUUCAGAGCAAAAGCCCUGCAGAUUAGUUUAAAAAAAAUUUUUUUUAAAAAUCAGAAACCAAAACUCAAAACCGAAA